GAUGAACGCUAGCUACAGGCUUAACACAUGCAAGUCGAGGGGAAACGACAUCGAAAGCUUGCUUUUGAUGGGCGUCGACCGGCGCACGGGUGAGUAACGCGUAUCCAACCUGCCCAUCACUUGGGAAUAACCUUGCGAAAGUAAGACUAAUACCCAAUGACAUCCCACGAAGACAUCUGAAUGGGAUUAAAGAUUUAUCGGUGAUGGAUGGGGAUGCGUCUGAUUAGCUUGUUGGCGGGGUAACGGCCCACCAAGGCAACGAUCAGUAGGGGUUCUGAGAGGAAGGUCCCCCACAUUGGAACUGAGACACGGUCCAAACUCCUACGGGAGGCAGCAGUGAGGAAUAUUGGUCAAUGGGCGAGAGCCUGAACCAGCCAAGUAGCGUGCAGGAUGACGGCCCUAUGGGUUGUAAACUGCUUUUAUAAGGGAAUAAAGUGGGUCUCGUGAGACUUUUUGCAUGCACCUUAUGAAUAAGGACCGGCUAAUUCCGUG
rnacentral:rRNA from 1 species